GAGAUGACCUAGGGGAUGGACAGAAAAUUGAAGUCAACACAUUUAUUCCAUCCUAUCUUACAGUCAUUGUUAUAUUCACAUUGAUUGUUUUGAAUACGACUGAAGUCUCAGAGAAGGCAAAGAAUCAUCACCUGGUUCAACAAUACCAUUUCCAUCCAGCAAACCUGGUAGCUCUGAAGUUCCAGGAAUUGAAGCAGGAGGCUCUCCCAUGAGACCGGUGUAGCGUCAACAGAGAUCAUACCACAGAACUAAUCAAAUGCAAGAUGACAUGGAAACUAAUUUAAGCUGAGCCUCCACAAAAGGCAGAAGAGUAAAGUAUAUUUGCUUCGAGUAACGAAUAGUGAAAUUACCGCUCUGGACCAUAUACAGAUAACAGUAGCACCAAUAUUAACAUGCUAGAAAUUCUGUGAGCAUAAUCUUAACCUCCACAAC